GAUGAACGCUGGCGGCGUGCCUAAUACAUGCAAGUCGAGCGAACGGACGAGAAGCUUGCUUCUCUGAUGUUAGCGGCGGACGGGUGAGUAACACGUGGAUAACCUACCUAUAAGACUGGGAUAACUUCGGGAAACCGGAGCUAAUACCGGAUAAUAUUUUGAACCGCAUGGUUCAAAAGUGAAAGACGGUCUUGCUGUCACUUAUAGAUGGAUCCGCGCUGCAUUAGCUAGUUGGUAAGGUAACGGCUUACCAAGGCAACGAUGCAUAGCCGACCUGAGAGAGUGAUCGGCCACACUGGAACUGGGACACGGUCCAGACUCCUACGGGAGGCAGCAGUAGGGAAUCUUCCGCAAUGGGCGAAAGCCUGACGGAGCAACGCCGCGUGAGUGAUGAAGGUCUUCGGAUCGUAAAACUCUGUUAUUAGGGAAGAACAUAUGUGUAAGUAACUGUGCACAUCUUGACGGUACCUAAUCAGAAAGCCACGGCUAACUACGUG
rnacentral:rRNA from 1 species